UUGCUCACUUCAACAGCACAUAUACUAAAAUUAGAAGAUAAGUAUGGUUCCUGUGCAAGAAUGACAUACAAAUUUCUGAAGUGUUCCAUAUUUUU
ensembl:snRNA U6 U6 spliceosomal RNA